rnacentral:lncRNA from 1 species
ACAAAUAAAAUAGGGUGGGCCCCAUAACAUACGAGGGGCUGUCAAAGUUGAUGUACACUCUUCACCAAGCAUAGAUCGUAUGUUGAUAUUUGUUAUUGAACUUGAUUCCUGUAGCUCUCAUUUUGCAGUAUAAAUUGCCAUUUUCUCUUGAAGAUUUGGUCAAGCCAUUUCAAACGUUAGUAAAGAUGAACAAAUUUAUUGAUUUUCGAAAGAAACUAAGUCAUACAACUCAUUUCUUGGUAUUCAGUUGUUUAAGAACAACUUUAUUGAUUUUCAGCUGUUUAAGAACAAAAUUACUAUGCUCAUACAACUAUUUUCUUGGUAUUCAGUCAUACGUUCUUCAUAUUCUUCUCUUUCGAGUAAAUCCAUUUUGGAUCGAAGUUUUCUAUUUUAUCAUAGUUUCCUUA